AAAUUAUCAACUCCAAACCUUUUGUGUUAUUGGUGCUUGGUCUUGAGGGGUUAUUGUGGGCUCUUUAUGAGUCGGCUCCCUUUAAAUCUAUUAGCGAGACUUCCCUGUGCUGGAACUUGUGUCUUGACGUGAUAGUUCAUCUACGUCAAAUUUUUCAAGUUCUUAUUGGGCUUGCUUCUAAUCGUCUUAUUUGGACAAUCGGAAUUGAGUGCAUAUAUGCGCCUUUUUCCAAUCCUAUU
rnacentral:misc_RNA from 1 species